GAGCAAGGGACGGCGUGUGUCUGAUGCAUUCCAGAUAUUCCGAGAUUGAAAAUGAUUUUGUUCUCUUGUUUUCUUUUUUAAAAUGCAGCGUGAAGUCAGAACCGCUGGAGGAAAUCCUGCCGGCCUUCCCUGGAGCUGGUCUGCAGGCUCCUCUGUGGGAUCCUGUCCUCCAAGAGCACCCCUCCUGCACACAGAGAGCCCAGAGUGCCUCGGGGAAAAUUGGCUGAAUAAAAGGGCAAUCAGGACGCCACGGCUCCGCCUGAGGCGAUGGCCCAGCCCUACCCCCCUGCCCAGUACCCCCCUCCGCCUCAGAACGGCAUCCCCACCGAGUACGCCCCGCCCCCGCCGCACCCCACGCAGGACUACUCCGGCCAGACCCCCGUUCCCCCAGAGCACGGCAUGACCCUGUACACACCAGCACAGACCCACCCUGAGCAGCCGGGCACCGAGGCCAGCACGCAGCCCAUCGCAGUGACCCAGACAGUGCCGCAGACAGAUGAAGCGGCACAGACGGACAGCCAGCCACUCCACCCCUCCGACCCCACAGAGAAGCAGCAGCCCAAGCGGCUGCACGUCUCCAACAUCCCUUUCCGGUUCAGGGACCCCGAUCUGCGGCAAAUGUUCGGGCAAUUUGGAAAGAUUUUAGACGUGGAGAUCAUUUUUAACGAGAGGGGCUCCAAGGUGGGUGCUGCGCAGAGGCUGCCACCAUUUCCGCACCGGCUGUAG
rnacentral:lncRNA from 1 species